rnacentral:rRNA from 1 species
UACGAAGGGAGCUAGCGUUGUUCGGAAUCACUGGGCGUAAAGCGCACGUAGGCGGAUGUGUCAGUCAGGGGUGAAAUCCCGGAGCUCAACUUCGGAACUGCCUUUGAUACAGCACGUCUUGAGUCCGAUAGAGGUGGGUGGAAUUCCUAGUGUAGAGGUGAAAUUCGUAGAUAUUAGGAAGAACACCGGUGGCGAAGGCGGCCCACUGGAGCGGUACUGACGCUGAGGAGCGAAAGCGUGGGUAGCAAACAGG